AAUCUGCCCCCCGGCCCCGGGAUAGCCCAGGGGAAACCUGGAUUAAUACCGGAUGAGACGGGACCCGCGAUGGCGGGACCCGGGAAGGCGCUGCGGCGCCGCCGGGGGGAUGAGUCUGCGUCCCAUUAGCUAGACGGCGGGGUAACGGCCCACCGUGGCGACGAUGGGUAGCCGGCCUGAGAGGGUGGACGGCCACAUUGGAACUGAGACACGGUCCAGACUCCUACGGGAGGCAGCAGCUAAGAAUCUUCCGCAAUGGGCGAAAGCCUGACGGAGCGAACCGCCGCGUGAACGAAGAAGGCCGUGAGGUUGUAAAGUUCUUUUCGGGAGGGGGAACAACCGUGGCAGGGAAUGGCCGCGGGAUGACGUGAAUCCCGGAAUAAGCCCCGGCUAACUACGUGCCAGCCGCCGC
rnacentral:rRNA from 1 species